rnacentral:snRNA from 10 species
GGAUGUGAGGGCAAUCUGGCUGCAAUAUCUUUCGCCCCAUUGAUUGGCAGGGUUGAUUUGGCUGAUCUGGCUGGCUAGGCAGAUGUCCCCUUCUUCCCUCACCACUCCAUGUGCAUCCCUACCAAAGCUGUGCACUCGGUCAAAGAGGACGACCAUCCCCGAGAGAGAAGGACUGGUCUUCAGUCAAGGGUAUAUGAGUAGCUAUGUCCCCUUCUAGAACCUCCAAAUAAGCUCUCAAGGUCAAUUUGUAGCAGAACGUAGGGUAGUCAAGCUUCCAAGACUCCAGACACAUCCAAAUGAGGUGCUGCAUGUGGCAGUCUGCCUUUUU